UACGUAGGGGGCAAGCGUUGUCCGGAAUCAUUGGGCGUAAAGCGCGUGUAGGCGGUUCAGUAAGUCUGCUGUGAAAGUCCAGGGCUCAACCCUGGGAUGCCGGUGGAUACUGCUGAACUAGAGUACGGAAGAGGCGAGUGGAAUUCCCGGUGUAGCGGUGAAAUGCGCAGAUAUCGGGAGGAACACCAACUGCGAAGGCAGCUCGCUGGGACGUCACUGACGCUGAGACGCGAAAGCGUGGGGAGCAAACAGG
rnacentral:rRNA from 1 species